GACGAACGCUGGCGGCGUGCUUAACACAUGCAAGUCGAACGGAAAGGCCCUGCUUUUGUGGGGUGCUCGAGUGGCGAACGGGUGAGUAACACGUGAGUAACCUGCCCUUGACUUUGGGAUAACUUCAGGAAACUGGGGCUAAUACCGGAUAGGAGCUCCUGCUGCAUGGUGGGGGUUGGAAAGUUUCGGCGGUUGGGGAUGGACUCGCGGCUUAUCAGCUUGUUGGUGGGGUAGUGGCUUACCAAGGCUUUGACGGGUAGCCGGCCUGAGAGGGUGAACGGCGACAUUGGGACUAAGAUACGGCCCAGAAUGCUACGGGAGGCAGCAGUGGGGAAUAUUGCAGAAUGGGCGGAAGCCUGAUGCAGCAACGCCGCGUGCGGGAAGACGGGCUUCGGGUUGUAAACCGCUUUCGCAUGUGACGAGGCGUGAGUGACGGUAAUGGGUAAAGAAGCACCGGCUAACUACGUG
rnacentral:rRNA from 1 species